rnacentral:misc_RNA from 1 species
GAAAUGCGAUAAGUAAUGUGAAUUGCAGAAUUCAGUGAAUCAUCGAAUCUUUGAACGCACAUUGCGCCCGCUAGUUAUUCUGGCGGGCAUGCCUGUCCGAGCGUCAUUUCAACCAUCAAGCCCCCGGGCUUGUGUUGGGGACUCUGCGAGCUCUUCGCUCGCAGACCCUGAAAACCAGUGGCGGGCUCGCAAGACACACCGAGCGUAGUAGCAUAAUUCUCGCUUAGGGCGUGCUGCGGGUUCCGGCCGUAAAACCCCCUUUAACCCAAGGUUGAUCUCAAAUCAGACAAGACUACCCGCUGAACUUAA